AGGGGGCAAGCCUGACCCAGCAACGCCGCGUGAGGGAAGAAGGCUUUCGGGUUGUAAACCUCUGUCCUUGGUGACGAAAAAAAUGACGGUAGCCAAGGAGGAAGCCCCGGCUAACUACGUGCCAGCAGCCGCGGUAAUAAAGGAGCCA
rnacentral:rRNA from 1 species